AUUUUUAAGAAAAUUUUAGAAACUUCUAUACGCAGGUGCUUUGAAUUUCCACUCUCAAAUCGAACUUACGUGCAUAAUUUGUUUCAAUGGAUUGCACUUAAAUCCUUUUCGCUUAUUCACUUUCAAACCAUGAUGCAAUUAUACAAGCUGGUCUCGUGGGGAGCCGAAGUUCGUUCGUGUUGUCCCUUAUCGUUAGUGCGUGAUUGAUUAUUGAUGUAGAAGGUUGUUCGCGUUCGAAUUUUUUAUACAGUUUUAACCCUUACGUGCCACCAACAAAAAUGACAUACUGCACUUUUUGCCGAAAUCAUGUUCCGGGAGUAAAAUUUAUUCAUGCUCCGAAAUGUGCAGUGAAGCGGAAGUUGUGGGAGCAAAGCCUCGGGUGCAGCCUUGGCGCUCAUUCUAAAAUAUACGAUACUCACUUCAAAGCUUCCCAGUGGAAGUCUGCACCUAACAAAGGGCAGACUUAUAAAAGGAGGAGAUUGAUUGAUAACGCCGUUCCGGAUAGAGAGGACGAAAGUUUAAAAGAUGGUUUCGUCAAUUCGAACACGCAAACAGAGGACGAAAUGAUAAAUCAUGCAAUGUUCAAGGAAAACGAGUGCC